GAAGAGAUAAGUGCUGAAAGCAUCUAAGCACGAAACUUGCCAAGAGAUGAGUUCUCCCAAUCUAAGAGAUAGUAAGGGUUGUUGUAGACUACGACGUAGAUAGGUCUGGUGUGUAAGUGUAGUGAUAUAUUGAGCUAACAGAUACUAAUUGCCCGAGAGGCUUAACUAUACAACGCUCAAG
rnacentral:rRNA from 1 species